rnacentral:rRNA from 1 species
CCAUGAGUAAAGUGGCGACCGGGUGAGUAACACGUGACUACCUACCCUUGAUGGGGGAUAACCUCGGGAAACCGAGGCUAAUACCGCAUAAUAUCGUUGUCUAAUAAACGGCGAUCAAAGGAGUAAUCCGCUUUUGGAGGGGGUCGCGGCUGAUUAGCUAGUUGGUAGGGUAAUGGCCUACCAAGGCGAAGAUCGGUAUCCGGCCUGAGAGGGCGCACGGACACACUGGAACUGAAACACGGUCCAG